GACGAACGCUGGCGGCGUGCCUAACACAUGCAAGUCGAACGGGACCGGGGGCAACUCCGGUUCAGUGGCGGACGGGUGCGUAACACGUGAGGAACAUGACUUUCGGUGGGGGAUAGCCGGCCCAACGGCCGGGUAAUACCGCGUACGACCAUUUGGGGGCAUCCCUGAGUGGGGAAAGCAGCAAUGCGCCGAAAGAGUGCCUCGCGGCCUAUCAGCUAGUUGGUGGGGUCACGGCUCACCAAGGCAACGACGGGUAGCUGGUCUGAGAGGAUGGCCAGCCACAUUGGGACUGAGACACGGCCCAGACUCCUACGGGAGGCAGCAGUGGGGAAUAUUGCGCAAUGGGCGAAAGCCUGACGCAGCGACGCCGCGUGUGGGAUGACGGCCUUCGGGUUGUAAACCACUGUCGGGAGGGACGAAUGCCCCGCAAGGGGAGUGACGGUACCUCCAAAGGAAGCACCGGCUAACUCCGUGCCAGCCGCCGCAGUAAUAC
rnacentral:rRNA from 1 species